AGUAAUGUAUGGGGAUCUGCCCGAUAGAGGGGGAUAACUACUGGAAACGGUGGCUAAUACCGCAUAAUGUCUACGGACCAAAGCAGGGGCUCUUCGGACCUUGCACUAUCGGAUGAACCCAUAUGGGAUUAGCUAGUAGGUGGGGUAAAGGCUCACCUAGGCGACGAUCUCUAGCUGGUCUGAGAGGAUGAUCAGCCACACUGGGACUAAGACACGGCCCAG
rnacentral:rRNA from 1 species